GAUGAACGCUGGCGGCGUGCCUAACACAUGCAAGUCGAGCGAAGCGCUGUUUUCAGAAUCUUCGGAGGAAGAGGACAGUGACUGAGCGGCGGACGGGUGAGUAACGCGUGGGCAACCUGCCUCAUACAGGGGGAUAACAGUUAGGAAUGACUGCUAAUACCGCAUAAGCGCACAGGACCGCAUGGUGUAGUGUGAAAAACUCCGGUGGUAUGAGAUGGACCCGCGUCUGAUUAGGUAGUUGGUGGGGUAAAGGCCUACCAAGCCGACGAUCAGUAGCCGACCUGAGAGGGUGACCGGCCACAUUGGGACUGAGACACGGCCCAAACUCCUACGGGAGGCAGCAGUGGGGAAUAUUGCACAAUGGGGGAAACCCUGAUGCAGCGACGCCGCGUGAAGGAAGAAGUAUUUCGGUAUGUAAACUUCUAUCAGCAGGGAAGAAAAUGACGGUAC
rnacentral:rRNA from 1 species